CGAAAUAGCUCAGUAGGUAGAGCGCUAGUCUCAUAUUUCAAAUGCACGAUUUGUUUCUUUAGAAGCAGUCAGCUAUAGGUCGGGAGUUCGAUCCUCCCUUUCGG
rnacentral:tRNA from 1 species